CCAAUAGCGUAUAUUAAAGUUGUUGCAGUUAAAAAGCUCGUAGUUGAAUUUCGGGAUUGGCGCAUCGGUCGUGCCUCACGGGGUAUGAACUGGUGCAGUCAAUUUCUCACCUUCUGGAGAACCGCGAUGUCCUUAAUUGGAUGCCGCGGGGAACCAGGACCUUUACUUUGAAAAAAUUAGAGUGUUUAAAGCAGGCAUUUUUGCUUGAAUACAUGAGCAUGGAAUAAUAAAAUAGGAAGGCAUGGUUCUAUUUUGUUGGUUUCUAGGACCACCGGAAUGAUUAAUAGGGAUAGUUGGGGGCAUUAGUAUUCAAUUGUCAGAGGUGAAAUUCUUGGAUUUAUUGAAGACUAACUACUGCGAAAGCAUUUGCCAAGGAUGUUUUCAUUAAUCAAGAACGAAAGUUAGGGGAUCGAAGACGAUCAGAUACCGUCGUAGUCUUAACCAUAAACUAUGCCGACUAGGAAUCAGACGAUGUUAAUUUUUUAAUGACUCGUUUGGCACCUUACG
rnacentral:rRNA from 1 species